rnacentral:rRNA from 1 species
AACGUACGCUGGCGGCACGCCUAACACAUGCAAGUCGAACGAAGUAGCAAUACUUAGUGGCAGACGGGUGAGUAACAUGUGGGUAUCUACCCUUUGGCCUGGAAUAACACGAGGAAACUUGUGCUAAUACCGGAUAAGUCUUUACGGAGAAAGCUUUAUGCACCAUUGGAUGAGCCCGCACUUGAUUAGUUCGUUGGUAGGGUAAUGGCCUACCAAGACUAUGAUCAAUAGCUGAUUUGAGAGGAUGAUCAGCCACAUUGGGACUGAGACACGGCCCAAACUCCUACGGGAGGCAGCAGUGGGGAAUCUUGCACAAUGGAGGAAACUCUGAUGCAGCGAUGCCGCGUGAGUGAAGAAGGCCUUUGGGUUGUAAAGCUCUUUCGUCGGGGAAGAAAAUGACUGUACCCGAAUAAGAAGGUCCGGCUAACUUCGUGCCAGCAGCCGCGGUAAUACGAAGGGACCUAGCGUAGUUCGGAAUUACUGGGCUUAAAGAGUUCGUAGGUGGUUGAAAAAGUUGGUGGUGAAAUCCCAGAGCUUAACUCUGGAACUGCCAUCAAAACUUUUCAGCUAGAGUAUGAUAGAGGAAAGCAGAAUUUCUAGUGUAGAGGUGAAAUUCGUAGAUAUUAGAAAGAAUACCAAUUGCGAAGGCAGCUUUCUGGAUCAUUACUGACACUGAGGAACGAAAGCAUGGGUAGCGAAGAGGAUUAGAUACCCUCGUAGUCCAUGCCGUAAACGAUGUGUGUUAGACGUUGGAAAUUUAUUUUCAGUGUCGCAGGGAAACCGAUAAACACACCGCCUGGGGAGUACGACCGCAAGGUUAAAACUCAAAUGAAUUGACGGGGACCCGCACAAGUAGUGGAGCAUGUGGUUUAAUUCGAAGAUACGCGCAGAACCUUACCAACACUUGACAUGUUCGUCGCGACUCUAAGAGAUUAGAGUUUUCGGUUCGGCCGGACGAAACACAGGUGCUGCAUGGCUGUCGUCAGCUCGUGUCGUGAGAUGUUGGGUUAAGUCCCGCAACGAGCGCAACCCUCACUUUUAGUUGCCAUCAUUAAGUUGGGCACUCUGAAAGAACUGCCAGUGAUAAGCUGGAGGAAGGUGGGGAUGACGUCAAGUCCUCAUGGCCCUUACGUGUUGGGCUACACACGUG